rnacentral:rRNA from 1 species
AAGAGGCGAAGCCGCGAGGCAGAGCAAAUCUCAAAAAGCCGUCCCAGUUCGGAUUGCAGGCUGCAACCCGCCUGCAUGAAGUUGGAAUCGCUAGUAAUCGCGGAUCAGCAUGCCGCGGUGAAUACGUUCCCGGGCCUUGUACACACCGCCCGUCACACCAUGAGAGUCGGGAACACCCGAAGUCCGUAGUCUGACCGCAAGGGGACGCGGCCGAAGGUGGGUUCGAUAAUUGGGGUGAAGUCGUAACAAGGUAUC